rnacentral:rRNA from 1 species
AGCGAACGCUGGCGGCAGGCUUAACACAUGCAAGUCGAGCGGACCGUUCGUGGUCAGCGGCGGACCGGGGAGUAACGCGUGGGAACGUGCCUGCCAGUUCGGAAUAACCCUGUGAAACUAGGGCUAAUACCGGAGACGCUCUUAUGGGGAAAGGUUUACUGCGGGAAGGUCGGCCCGCGUCUGUUUGGCUGGUUGGGGGGGUAACGGCAUGUCAAGGCGUCGAUCAGUAGCUGGUCUGUGAGGAUGAUCCGCUACACUGGGACUAAGACACGGCCCAGACUGGUAGGCAAGGGAGGAGAGUGUGAUAUUGGAGGAUGGGGGCAGGCCUGAUCCCGCCACGCGGGGUAAGUGAUGAAGGCGUUAGGGUUGUGCAGCUGUUUUAGCCGGGGCGUUAAUGACGGUACCGGAUGAAUAAGCACCGGCUAACUUCGUG